CGAAGGGGGCUAGCGUUGUUCGGAGUUACUGGGCGUAAAGCGCGCGCAGGCGGUCUUCCAAGUCAGUGGUGAAAGCCCGGAGCUCAACUCCGGAACUGCCAUUGAAACUGUAAGACUUGAGGAUGAGAGAGGUGAGUGGAAUUCCCAGUGUAGAGGUGAAAUUCGUAGAUAUUGGGAAGAACACCGGUGGCGAAGGCGGCUCACUGGCUCAUUACUGACGCUCAGGCGCGACAGCGUGGGGAUCAAACAGGAUUAGAUACCCUGGUAGUCCACGCCGUAAACGAUGAAUGCUAGCCGUUGGGCAGCUUGCUGUUCAGUGGCGCAGCUAACGCAUUAAGCAUUCCGCCUGGGGAGUACGGCCGCAAGGUUG
rnacentral:rRNA from 1 species